AGUGAACGCUGGCGGUAGGCCUAACACAUGCAAGUCGAACGGCAGCACAGUAAGAGCUUGCUCUUACGGGUGGCGAGUGGCGGACGGGUGAGGAAUACAUCGGAAUCUACUUUUUCGUGGGGGAUAACGAAGGGAAACUUACGCUAAUACCGCAUACGACCUACGGGUGAAAGCAGGGGAUCUUCUGACCUUGCGCGAUUGAAUGAGCCGAUGUCGGAUUAGUUAGUUGGCGGGGUAAAGGCCCACCAAGGCGACGAUCCGUAGCUGGUCUGAGAGGAUGAUAAGCCACACUGGAACUGAGACACGGUCCAGACUCCUACGGGAGGCAGCAGUGGGGAAUAUUGGACAAUGGGCGCAAGCCUGAUCCAGCCAUACCGCGUGGGUGAAGAAGGCCUUCGGGUUGUAAAGCCCUUUUGUUGGGAAAGAAAAGCAGCAGGUUAAUACCCCGCUGUUCUGACGGUACCCAAAGAAUAAGCACCGGCUAACUUCGUG
rnacentral:rRNA from 1 species